UCCUCCUUAGCUCAGUUGGUAGAGCGCGUCACUUGUAAUGACGAGGUCAGUCGUUCAAGUCGGCUAGGGGGAA